GCUUGCUUGCCAUUUGUGCUCAUUCGCACAUGCUUGUGAGGGUCGCUCCCUACAAGCCGGCACUCUGGAGUUAGUCUAUGCGACUUAUGUUCGCUCGUGCGGUAUUGAGAAGCCUACGGGGUCGAGUGGGACAGACACAUUCCAAGAGUAGGGAUGUUGGGCUACCACAGGCACUUAGGCGGCACAAGCCGGACUACCUUUGGUAGGUCCUUAAUUGGAAAUGGAAAUCGACACAGUGUUGAGAAUGAAUAAUCACUACUAGAUAGGCUUAGUAGUUGGAUUACUUGACAUGCUCAUGACAUAGCAUUGGGAUAU
rnacentral:lncRNA from 1 species